CCAGGCACAUAGUAGGUGUUUAAUGGAUACGGAUUGGUAGUUAACGCCUACUGUGUGCCGGUCG
rnacentral:pre_miRNA from 1 species